rnacentral:rRNA from 1 species
GAUGAACGCUGGCGGCGUGCCUAAUACAUGCAAGUCGAGCGAACGGACGAGAAGCUUGCUUCUCUGAUGUUAGCGGCGGACGGGUGAGUAACACGUGGAUAACCUACCUAUAAGACUGGGAUAACUUCGGGAAACCGUAGCUAAUACCGGAUAAUAUUUUGAACCGCAUGGUUCAAAAGUGAAAGACGGUCUUGCUGUCACUUAUAGAUGGAUCCGCGCUGCAUUAGCUAGUUGGUAAGGUAACGGCUUACCAAGGCAACGAUGCAUAGCCGACCUGAGAGGGUGAUCGGACACACUGGAACUGAGACACGGUCCAGACUCCUACGGGAGGCAGCAGUAGGGAAUCUUCCGCGAUGGGCGAAAGCCUGACGGAGCAACGCCGCGUGAGUGAUGAUGGUCUUCGGAUCGUAAAACUCUGUUAUUAGGGAAGAACAUAUGUGUAAGUAACUGUGCACAUCUUGACGGUACCUAAUCAGAAAGCCACGGCUAACUACGUG